UGGCGGACGGGUGAGUAAUGUCUGGGAAACUGCCUGGUGGAGGGGGAUAACUACUGGAAACGGUAGCUAAUACCGCAUAACGUCGCAAGACCAAAGAGGGGGACCUUAGGGCCUCUUGCCAUCGGAUGUGCCCAGAUGGGAUUAGCUAGUAGGUGGGGGAAGGGCUCACCUAGGCGACGAUCCCUAGCUGGUCUGAGAGGAUGACCAGCCACACUGGAACUGAGACACGGUCCAG
rnacentral:rRNA from 1 species